rnacentral:rRNA from 1 species
AGCGGGAAAAGCUCAAAUUUAAAAUCUGGCGUCCUCCGGGCGUCCGAGUUGUAAUCUGGAGAAGCGUUUUCCGCGUCGGACCGUGUACAAGUCUUCUGGAACGGAGCGUCAUAGAGGGUGAGAAUCCCGUCUCUGACACGGACUACCGAUGCUUUUGUGAUGCGCUCUCGAAGAGUCGAGUUGUUUGGGAAUGCAGCUCAAAAUGGGUGGUAAAUUCCAUCUAAAGCUAAAUAUUGGCCAGAGACCGAUAGCGAACAAGUACCGUGAGGGAAAGAUGAAAAGCACUUUGGAAAGAGAGUUAAACAGUACGUGAAAUUGUUGAAAGGGAAACGCUUGAAGUCAGUCGCGUUGGCCGAGACUCAGCCUGGCUUGCCUGGUGUACUUCUCGGUUGACGGGUCAGCAUCAGUUUUGACCGUCGGAUAAAGGUUGGAGGAAUGUGGCAUCCCUCGGGAUGUGUUAUAGCCUCUGAUUCGCAUACGGCGAUUGGGACUGAGGAACUCAGCACGCCUUUAUGGUCGGGGUUCGCCCACGUAACGUGCUUAGGAUGCUGGCAUAAUGGCUUUAAGCGACCCGUCUUGAAACACGGACCAAGGAGUCUAACAUGCCCGCGAGUGUUUGGGUGUUAAACCCGAGCGCGUAAUGAAAGUGAAAGUUGAGAUCCCUGUCGUGGGAGC